AACGAACGCUGGCGGCAGGCUUAACACAUGCAAGUCGAGCGCCCCGCAAGGGGAGCGGCAGACGGGUGAGUAACGCGUGGGAAUCUACCCAUCUCUACGGAAUAACGCAUGGAAACGUGUGCUAAUACCGUAUACGUCCUUCGGGAGAAAGAUUUAUCGGAGAUGGAUGAGCCCGCGUUGGAUUAGCUAGUUGGUGGGGUAAAGGCCUACCAAGGCGACGAUCCAUAGCUGGUCUGAGAGGAUGAUCAGCCACACUGGGACUGAGACACGGCCCAGACUCCUACGGGAGGCAGCAGUGGGGAAUAUAGGACAAUGGGCGCAAGCCUGAUCCAGCCAUGCCGCGUGAGUGAUGAAGGCCCUAGGGUUGUAAAGCUCUUUCACCGGUGAAGAUAAUGACGGUAACCGGAGAAGAAGCCCCGGCUGACUUCGUGCCAGCCGCCGCAGUAAGAC
rnacentral:rRNA from 1 species